CCUAGCACUUGUUCGACUUCCCCCAGUCAUGAAUCACAAAGUGGUAAGCGCCCUCCCGAAGGUUAACCUACCUACUUCUUUUGCAACCCACUCCCAUGGUGUGACGGGCGGUGUGUACAAGGCCCGGGAACGUAUUCACCGUAGCAUUCUGAUCUACGAUUACUAGCGAUUCCGACUUCAUGGAGUCCAGUUGCAAACUCCAAUCCGGACUACGACGCACUUUAUGAGGUCCGCUUGCUCUCGCGAGGUCGCUUCUCUUUGUAUGCGCCAUUGUAGCACGUGUGUAGCCCUGGUCGUAAGGGCCAUGAUGACUUGACGUCAUCCCCACCUUCCUCCAGUUUAUCACUGGCAGUCUCCUUUGAAUUCCCGGCCUGACCGCUGGCAACAAAGGAUAAGGGUUGCGCUCGUUGCGGGACUUAACCCAACAUUUCACAACACGAGCUGACGACAGCCAUGCACCACCUGUCUCACAGUUCCCGAAGGCACCAAUCCAUCUCUGGAAAGUUCUGAGGAUGUCAAGACCAGGUAAGGUUCUUCGCG
rnacentral:rRNA from 1 species